rnacentral:tmRNA from 1 species
GGGGGCGACAUGGUUUCGACGCCGGUGACAACCCCUGCGGUGCAUGCCGAGAGCGUGAUGUAUCUCGUAAAUCCAACAUCACGACAAAUAGUCGCAAACGACGACAACUACGCUCAGGGCGCGCUGGCAGCUUAAUAGCUGUUAGCUUCUUGUCCGGCCCCGAAGUGCUGUGCCCAUUCAGCACGGACGGGAUACGAGCUAAAAAUAAUGGGAUCGCAGUUGGUGGUGUCUUCGCGCCAAUUGCUAAACCUUAAGAAGGCUCGCGUUACUGGAUCCUGAUCGUCGGAGCCGGUAGCGUUAAAAUAAAUGACGUAAUCUAAGCAUGUAGAGCCAAUGGGCGAGUGCUGGCGGACGCGGGUUCAAUUCCCGCCGCCUCCACCA